rnacentral:rRNA from 1 species
ACAGGGAUUGCCCCAGUAACGGCGAGUGAAGCGGCAGGAGCUCAAAUUUGAAAUCUGGGACCUCCGAGUUGUAAUUUGGAGAGGCAUCUUCGGGGGGGAUCCUUGGAACAGGACGUCACAGAGGGUGAGAAUCCCGUGCCAGGCCGGCUCCCUCCUCCCGGGUGAAGCGCCUUCGACGAGUCGAGUUGUUUGGGAAUGCAGCUCCAAGUGGGUGGUAAGUUUCAUCUAAAGCUAAAUACCGGCGGGAGACCGAUAGCGCACAAGUAGAGUGAUCGAAAGAUGAAAAGCACUUUGAAAAUAGAGUCAAAAAGUACGUGAAAUUGUUGAAAGGGAAGCGCUUGAGACCAGACUCAGGCCCGGGCAAACACCCCGUGCAAUUGCCUGGGUGGGCCAGCAUCAGUCCGUGGCGGGACAAAGGAAUGUGGCUCCCCCCCCGCGCUCAAUGCCGCCACGCCGACUGAGGACCGCGCCUCGGCCUUCAGCGACCCGUCUUGAAACACGGACCAAGGAGUCUAACAUCUAUGCGAGUGUUUGGGUGCAAACCCUUGCGCGGAAUGAAAGUGAGCGGAGGUGGGGCGCACCAUCGACCGAUCCUGAUGUCUUCGGAUGGAUUUGAGUAGGAGCAUAGCUGUUGGGACCCGAAAGAUGGUGAACUAUGCCUGAAUAGGGUGAAGCCAGAGGAAACUCUGGUGGAGGCUCGGUUCUGACGUGCAAAUCGAUCGUCAAAUUUGGGGCGAAAGACUAAUCG